rnacentral:rRNA from 1 species
CUGGCGGCGUGCCUAAUACAUGCAAGUCGAACGCGCAGCGAAAGGUGCUUGCACCUUUCAAGCGAGUGGCGAACGGGUGAGUAACACGUGGAUAACCUGCCUCAAGGCUGGGGAUAACAUUUGGAAACAGAUGCUAAUACCGAAUAAAACUUAGUAUCGCAUGAUACAAAGUUGAAAGGCGCUACGGCGUCACCUAGAGAUGGGUCCGCGGUGCAUUAGUUAGUUGGUGGGGUAAAGGCCUACCAAGACAAUGAUGCAUAGCCGAGUUGAGAGACUGAUCGGCCACAUUGGGACUGAGACACGGCCCAAACUCCUACGGGAGGCUGCAGUAGGGAAUCUUCCACAAUGGGCGAAAGCCUGAUGGAGCAACGCCGCGUGUGUGAUGAAGGCUUUAGGGUCGUAAAGCACUGUUGUAUGGGAAGAAAUGCUAGAAUAGGGAAUGAUUCUAGUUCGACGGUACCAUACCAGAAAGGGACGGCUAAAUACGUGCCAGCAGCCGCGGUAAUACGUAUGUCCCGAGCGUUAUCCGGAUUUAUUGGGCGUAAAGCGAGCGCAGACGGUUGAUUAAGUCUGAUGUGAAAGCCCGGAGCUCAACUCCGGAAUGGCAUUGGAAACUGGUUAACUUGAGUGUUGUAGAGGUAAGUGGAACUCCAUGUGUAGCGGUGGAAUGCGUAGAUAUAUGGAAGAACACCAGUGGCGAAGGCGGCUUACUGGACAACAACUGACGUUGAGGCUCGAAAGUGUGGGUAGCAAACAGGAUUAGAUACCCUGGUAGUCCACACCGUAAACGAUGAAUACUAGGUGUUAGGAGGUUUCCGCCUCUUAGUGCCGAAGCUAACGCAUUAAGUAU